GGGCUGUGUGUCCAGAAAAGUACAUUAGGAAUCCCAAAUUCUUGAGCGGCGUCAAGAGUGAAGCUCAUGCAACCAUCAGAAAUAACACAAGUAACAGGUGGAACAGUAUUGGAAGAAUUCAGCCUGGAAAGAAGAUGAUGAAAUGGGAGUAAGCAGUGCUUGGAGGUGGAGUUACAGAGAGAAGGGAUGUCUUGAGUGGCAUCUGCAUCCGAAGGUGGAAGCCCAUCAGGGAUAGCCUCAAAGUGAAAAUCUGGCAAUCCGUCAAGAGAGUCAGGGCCUCUAGACCUGAGCAAGCGUCUGUGGUUAUACUCUGUAUUGACAAAAGUUAUGUGAAAACCAUUGGAGUGGAGGAUUUUUGCUAGCUUGAGCAUUGAAUUUACAGGACCUUGAGCUGGAUAUGGGACGCACACAGCAUGACAUCUCUCGUCUCUGGCAACGGCAGAAGAACCCAUCUGUUUAUAUAUGUAUUCUGUACUUAAGUCUGCGAGAACCGAAUUUGGUGAUGGAAAAGAAGCUAAAUUCUGCUUCUUAAAACACGAGAGAUUGGCUUGAACAGUUCAAUCGAUUAAAAAAAUAAAACACAGCAGAGAAUUCCUGCCCGUAUCAAGCAAUCAGAGAUCUGCAAUAGAAAACGGAUAUGGUACGCAGACAGCAUUUACUGACGCCAUCGUAAUAAUUGUACUGAACUAACUUUAUUUAUUAUUUUUAUUCUUUUAAGAUAUUUCAUUAAAAGCCCUUACUCAACGUAGGGCCCACUGCUCAUUUAUGAAUGCAUUAAACCUUUAAUGCGUGGACCGUAAGCCAAGUUAAAUCACAUCAAAGUGGUACUAAAUUAAAAAUUAAAAAUUAAAAAUAAAUUUUAUAAGUAAGUUUUUUUAAAUUAUAUAUCAUAAUAAAUAAGUAAAAUUUUUUUAUUAAAGUAUGAAUAAUUUCAAAAUUCAAUAAAAUUUGAUCAACUUAGACACUGAAAGUAAUAACUAAUUAACAAAUCAUUAUAAAAAAAUUUCUUAAAAAUGCCAUUUAAAAAUUAAUAGUGUAAAUAAUUUAUUUUAUUAAUUAAAUUAAAUUAUUAUAUUUUUUAUUUUUUUAUAAAGUAAAAAUACAUAAUUAUUGUUUUUAUUUUGUUAUAUGAUUUUAAUAUAAGAAUAUUUAUUUUUUAUUAAUCAUUAAAAAAAUUAACUUUAAGUAAUUUUCAAUUAUAUAAAAUUUUUUAGAAUUUUUUAAAUAUUAUCAUAGUUUUUCAUAAACUCCUUCAAAUGUAGGGUCCCACAUCAAUUAUUAAGAGGAAAAAUGAUGGGUAAGAGUGUCCCACAUUAAUUAUUAAGAGGAAAAAUGAUGGGUAAGAGCCGAUCAGAAAAUUGUGCAAUAGCUAAAAACGGUCGUAUGAUAAAAUUUCUCCCUCUGAAAGACUAAAUUGCUUAUUUUGAGUGAAAACUUUGACAGCUAGUAAAAGUACACAACAGCAAAUAUACAGUACAACAAGCGAGGGUGAUACUUCUUCAGCCAUUAAAAAUUCCAAAUCAUUUUCUUUGAAGAAAUCCAAGCAGUUGGACCAAAUUCCUGUGAGAAGAGCCACCUGGUGUUGUGGCCUCCUCUGCUUUGAUCUUCCAUUCCAUUGCCUGCCUUUUCAUUUCUUUACCCUUCUUUCCAUCCAUCAACUCUCUCACAAGCUUUUCCACUUCCUCUCUUUUUACAUCAUUAUCAAUCUCCAUUCCAAUACCCCAUUCAUUGCAAGCGAACCAACAAUUGGUCUGUUGCUCCGCGAAGAAUGGCCAACAAACCACUGGAACACCUCCACAUAUACUCUCCAACGUCGAAUUCCACCCCAUAUGACUUAAAAAUCCUCCUAUUGCAGGAUGCUUCAAGAUUUGCUCUUGUGGAGACCAGCUCGCUAACGUUCCUCUGUCCUUGGUUUCAGACCCAAAUUCGGGUGGCAACAUCGCAGCUUCGCCAACCACAAGGUCUGGCCUUAUUAUCCACAAAAAUGGUUUCUUGCUGUUGGCUAGCCCCCAAGCAAAUUCUAUCAUUUGUUGUGGGGUUACCACAGUGAUGCUACCAAAAUUUACAUACACAACAGAGUUUGGUUCUUUUGAAUCAAGCCAGUCAAUACACUCUGGCUGUUCUUUCCACAGAUUUGAACCAAUGUUUAUCAAUUUGCUGUCUGGGAUCUGAUCAAGAAGCAACUGAAGAGGACCAAUAGUAUAAAUAGGAGGUAACAUGGUGAAAAGAACAUCCAACACAUUUUUCUCAAAGGCCUCGAAUGUGUUCAAAAUGACAGCAGAAGCUCUUGAAGUUCUCUCUAUUUCCCUUACAAAGAAAUUGAGCAUGAUGUCAUUUCUGUCAGUAGUUCUGAUAAAGCUUGGAAGAUCCCUUAAGCGAAUAUUUCUCAUUCCUGGAAUCCAAUCUAUGGUUGUAUCCAAGUCCCCAUUUGUUAGAUAGCUCUCAUCUGCAUUUCACAGACCAAAUCAAGUGCAAGAAAGAUUCAGUAAACCUAAGAACCUAAUCUUCUGCUAACUAUAUCUAAAAAGAGGGUGAGAGUAUUAAACCUUUAAGAGGUGUUAAGCCCCUUUCAAUCAGAUGACGAUAAUGAGCAUAGGCCAAAACGCCACAGGAGCUGGGUGUCCAGAAAAGUACAUCAGGAAUUCCAAAUUCAUGAGCUGCGUCAAGAGUGAAGCUCAUACAAGCAUCAGAAAUAACACAAGUAACAGGUGGGACAGUAUUGGAAGAGUUGAGCCUGGAAAGAAGAUGGCGAAAUGGGAGUAAGCAGUGCUUGGAGGUGGAGUCACAGAGAGAUGGGAUGUCUUGGGUGGCAUUUGCAUCAGAAGGUGGAAGGCCAUCAGGGAUAGAAUCAAAGUGAAAAUCUGGCAAGCCGUCAAGAGAGUCAGGGCCUCUAGACCUGAGCAAGCGUCUGUGGUUAUACUCUGUGUUGACGAAAGUUAUGUGAAAGCCAUUGGAGUGGAGGAUUUUCGCAAGCUUGAGCAUUGGAUUUACAUGACCUUGAGCUGGAUAUGGUACGCACACAGCAUGAGGUCUCUCGUCUCUUGCAAUGGCGAAGGAACCCAUCUGUGCUUGUGCAAUUGUGUAGUAAUACUCUAUAAGAGCUGUAGUUGAUCAGGAAAAAUGAAGCUAAAUGCUGCUUCUUAUAACCAAAGAGAGGUUGGCUUCAACAGUCCAAUCAAUAAUAUAGUUAUUUUAUAGUAUUUACACUUAUUUUAUAAAUAUAAAUAAUUUAUUAAUAUAUAUAUAUAAUUUACAUUAAUAUAAAAAUUUUAUAAUUAAUAAAUACUAAAAAAAAUAAGAUGAUGGUUAAAAUAAAAUAUAAAAUCUAGUAAAAAUUUUAAAGAGAUGUUUAGUUUACCUUUUUGUGACAAUAACUAUUUUGUAUAUUUGAUAAAUACUUAUUAGCUAUUUUUUUUCAUCAACUGUCACUGGCUUUUUUCCCAUCCAUUGAUAGUUGAUAAGAUUUUAACUUUUAUUUGGACCAUUUUUCUCCUUUGUUUAAAGCUUUUUCUUAUCCAUUCAUAGUUGAUCAGCUUUUAUACACAAUCAUAUUUUUAAAUAUUAUGUGUAUUUUAUAAUAAAUUAUUAAUUAUAUAUAUAUAUAUAUACAUACAUAUUUUACUAAUUUAAAUUAUAAUUAAAAAUUAAUUAUAAAUUAUUAACUAUUAACAACAUUGUUAAUGCUAAAUAUCGAACCGAAUCAAAUCAAGUUUUCAUAGUCUCGGCUCGAGUUUUAUUUAUUAGUUUAAACUUAAUUUAUAAAAUAAAUAUUAAACUCGAACAAUAUUCGAAUUUAAUUCGUAAUAAAUUCGUUGAUUACAUUAACGAACCAACUUAAAUUCCAUUCAAAUGAAUCAACUUAAACUCCAUUCAAAAACUUGAAUUUGCGCUCAUUUAAAUUUAAAUUUUAACUCGAUUAUAUUAUAAACAAACUUAAUAUAAUUUAAAUAUAUUUAAAUUAUAAAUAAAUUUAAAUUAAAAAUAAAAUUAAAAUUAUAAAAUCAUUAAAAAGUUUAAAAUUAAAUUUUUUUAUUUAAUUAAAAUCUUUCAAAUUCAAAACUAAUAAAAAAAAGUAAAAAGAUUAUACUUUUAUAAAAAAUUCACGGUCCAUAUACUUUUUAACUUUUAACGUGGAAUUGGUGUUAGCGAACGAGUCUGAUCACGAGUUUGUUCGUAAGCAUAUUCACGAGUCAACUCGCAAAUUUGUUUAUAACGAACCAAGCUCGCGAGAUUAAAGGAGUCGAAUACUGCUAAACUAAAAAUCGGCACGUUUAUUAAACGAAUCUAAAAAGUGAGUUUGAGUUCGACUCGUUUAGAAAACGAAACGAAUCCGAUCAAAUUUUUAUCUAAUCGAGUCUCGAAUACCUAUUGAUUACUAUUUUUAAAAAAUUACCAAACAUUUAAAUUAAAUAUUUGGGAGUUACAUCAAUUAUCAGUUAGAAAAAAUGGUAAAUCAAAAUCCUCUUAGUACCAAUUCCAUUAAGUAUAACAAAAUCACGACUAUCAGGUAUUUAUCUUGUGACCUUUUAGGAACAAACCUUUCUUUUUGUUUUUACUUAACUAAAAUUAAAAUUUUAGAAAGUUAAUGAAAAAAAAUUAAUUGGAUUAAAUUACUGUAAAAUUCUAAUUGAUUCUAAACGAAAUUUUGAUAAAAUUGGUUUAAUUCUUUGACAUUUUAGUUCUGAUUUUAUUUUGUUAUUAGUUUUUUAAUUUUGGUUUUGUGAGGUUUUUAUUUAGAUUUUGAUUCUUGAAAUUUUUUUAUACACUUGCUUUUAUGAAACAUUAUACUUAAGUUACUAUUUAAGUUUUAAAUUGUAUUAAUUAAAAUAUAUUAUAUAAUAUUUCUUGUAAUAUAUUUCUAACUAAAAUUAUCAAGGAAAAAAAAGAUAAAAUCGAUAUUUGUAUUGAUAUUAUUACUAUUUUAGUCAUAUAUAAACACGUCAUACAUUAAAAAUAUACUAAUCUAUCUAAAAAUUAAUUAUAUAUAUAUAUAUAUAUAUAUAUAUAUAUAUAUAAUUUUACUUUUUUUAUCAUGAAAAUUAAAAUUGUAUUUCUAAAGCACAAAUAAAAUAAAAUUAUAAAGAGACGCAUAAUAGACUAGAAGGCUAAACCAGCCUAAAAUUAAAAAAUAAACCAAUUAAAUAACAGAAAUCCAACCAAAACCUAACCAAAUAAAUCAAAUUAGUAAUCGAACAAAAUAAUCGAACAGAAGACUGUCGCAUACCAUCCCACACUGCUAUACCGUCUGAGCAUCAUCCAUGACUGCAACAACAGCCAAAGAGAUAAAAAGCGUGAUAGGCAACAAAACCAUAUCAACAUCCCCAAUUAACAAGGGCGGCUAAACAACAAAGAGAUAAAAAGAAUAAAGAAACUAUAAUACACACAUGGAAAAAACAGAAAUAGAGAAGAGAGGCUACUGGUAAUAGAGAAGAGAGGCCACUGGUAAGUGUAGUCCACCGACAAAAGUAGAUCCGAGGAAGGAGCCACCAUAGAGCCCAGCUAAAGAAGGCCGAUGGAAGCGGUAGCCAUCAGACGUAUCGAUGCUGUCUCGGGAUACGAUAUUACACCCAAAGGUAACCUCCCCACGGAAAGUCAAUAUCGAAGCCCUCAAGGUCCUUGCACCAGAAUCUUCCUUGUCAACAGAACCACCAAAGACUGGAGAAACGGAUAGCAAAUUAAAGCAAAAACAAAAGUCAAUCUGGUCAUCCACGGCAAAGAAAAUUCGAGAAGGACGACGGCUCUAAAAAGAAACCCUCAUUCCCUCGUUUUAAAGCAAGGAGAAGGAAAAAUACCACAUCUGGAAAAACACGAAUAAAAUGAAGUCAAUCAAGAGUGAAAAUAAUAAGAAUCAGACCCUAAAACACAAAAAAUUCCUUAUCCUUUACUCUUCUCACUUUACUUUGAUUACAAUCUAAUAAGAUUCUAUAAUAGGGUUUACAGUGUAUGAGUGAGCUUAGCCAGGGAAAAUCUUGUCUCUCCCCCUUUAUCCCUUUUCUUUUUGUCUUCUAGUGAUGCAUAACCGCCAUUCUGCUACAGUGUCACCUGUCCCUGUUACUCAGGUUCGUACGUACGGAUGUGCCAGUGUACCCCUCUCUAUUAGGCGGCCAUUUAAUUCCCCCCGACGUGCAUGCUGAUAGAGCUGCGAGGUGACUGGGCCUGCUGACUAUGCGGUUGUCGAGACCGGUCAAAAAUAACCUUUUUGGUUAUCCACAAUUUUACAACUGUAUAUAGUGAUAAAAGGAUUGAAUCCAUAUGGAAUUCAUACUUACCUAUGUUGUUGGGAAGUCCAUAAAUUAUUGCAACCCAAAGGCGCAGCGGAAAAAUAAAAUUUCUCUGAUUUCCUUUUCCCAGAAUCCGAGUGCUUCGUUUAUUUCAUAAGAAGGAUAUGAAACUAACCUGUUAAUCUCAUCAAGAAUAUACAAUGCCGAACUGAUGGUGCUGCUUUUCCAAACGAACACCCUCUAUAGUAUCCACACAAACGUCUUCUAUCUUUCUAGAGUGCUAGCUCUCUCAAAGAUGGAUAGAUUAUAUGCUCUACAAUCUGCAAUAGUUAUACUAAAUUUUUCUCCAAAAAUUAACAUUAUCCUUCCACAAUUCAUAGAAGGAGUAUUUAUAUGUUUCAGUCUUUUAUUUUUCCCACAAUUUCUUUUCCUAAAAGGAGUUGUGUUCAUAACCCACUAUCACAAUCUCACAGAUACUCAAAUAUCUUAUAUGAUAGAGUUCUUUAUUUGUAACAGUUACAGAUAAAUUGCAGAUCUUUUAAAUAUUAUUAUCUCAUAAUAAUAAAUAAUUAAUAAUAAUAACACUUUAUUAUUAUUAAUUAUAUUAAUGAUUAAUAAUAAUAACACUUUAUUAUUAUUAAUUAUAUUAAUGGGCUUUAGACUUUUAGCUCAUUAAUAUGUCAUAACACAUCAACAACAUGUAUGACCCAAUAGGCUCACAUUAAUUGGCAAUAGGCCCAGUCCCAGUCCCACAAGACUCAUAAAUCAUAAGUGGCCUCUACCAAGACAUUAUGACUACCCAAUUAAUAUGAGGAUCAAUAGUCCGAUAAAGCCUAAUAAAUAGAACAUGUAUUAAUCCCUUUGUCACACGAUAUGUAGUUUGAACAUAAGUCAUGGUCAAUGUCAAACUUAUAAUGUUCAAACUUAUGAUUUCUCGAUCUCUAAGUAGACUGAUAAAUUCAAAAGAUAUUGAUCACACUAUCAAUUCAUUUGAGCACGGCUAUACAUUUCUCAGUCUCACUUAUCGAGGGACCCAGAAGAUAGCUCUUUCAGAGAGAGGGACAAAUCCUAUCUUGAUUGUUCAUUAUCCUCUACAUAAUUUCUAUUAUGCUCAAUCAUAACCUUUAUGAUUGUCCGAUUAAAGACAACGUUUGGUUAUGUCAAAACAUAACAGUCCUUAUAUUAGAAACUAUGACAAUCUCAAGUCAAAGGAUUAAGACAUAACUAUUUUGAGAUUCACUUAUGACAAUAACCCAUGUAGUGAUCUCAGUGCGAGUCCAUCAAAUACUUUGUUCUCUAAUAAGUAUUUAUGAUUGUUAAUUAUAUCAACAUAUACAUAAUCAUCUCAUGAUUAUCAAUCAAUAAUCAUACUAGCUAUAUUUUAUUAUUAUCAACAUAAUAAUAAGUAAUCAGGGAUGAUAAUCAUUAUUAUGUAAUAUGCAAACAAAUAAUAAUGAUAAAAACUUCUUUUAUUAAUAACCAAAACGACAUACAAAAAGGUCUAAGAUAAUGGCCUAGGGCAAAUACACUAACAAUAUAUGCUUCUAUCAAAAACCAAGUAAAUAAACUGGAAAAAAAAAAUAAAAAGGGGGUUUUGAAGUUGAUGAACUAAACUAGAAUUAAAAGUAGUAAAGCAAAACAAAUAAUAGAGUAGGAGAAUUCAAUAAUAAGAAAAGUCUAGUUGAAGCUUUGGAUCCACUUCAGUUGUUGGUAUUGAUCAUUGACACUUAUGUUUUUUUAUUUGACUCAAUAAAUUAGUUAUGGGGUGGAAGACGCUUUUCACCAUCAUAUCUCUCCUUAAGCAUAUAUUAAUUACGAAAUGUUCUCUAAUUAAUCACUAAUCAAUAAGUUGCCAAGGAACGUCAUUGGGGCUUUAGAUUCAUACAACUGUCAAUUGCAUUAAGAAAUAAAGAGACCUAAUUCUAGCUAUCCAAACGUAUGGUGAUCUUGCUAGAUUAUGCAAUCUCCUUGGUGUUUACACCAAGAGUUACUUGUGUUUGAAUAAUUCAAGCAAUUAUGGAACUAAAUUACCCAAACUAACAAAUUAUCACUUUGCAAUCAAGAAUCAAUGGGCCAUAUUGAUCUAAACAACAAAGUAACAAUAGAAUUAAGCAUGAAAUUGCAUAAAUAUUGAUAAAUAAAAUAUGAACAUCAUAGGUUCAGAUCUCCCAAUUCAUUAACAAACUGAAGUUUCACUUAAUCUUCAACUAGAAAAAGAGGUUUUAGCCAAUAAUGGCUGAAACUAACAUUAAAAUCAAAGAAAGAAAGCAAGAAUAAGAAAUUGGGCCGGCUGGGCGGCUACUAGAGGCACGCGAUUGCUGGAGGUGAUGAUCUCUGAAAAAGAUCUCCCCCCUUUGGUUGCUGGAUGGCUCUCUAUUUAUAUCUGAAUGUGAAACCCUAGGUUAUCCCUUGAUUAGAUGGAGUUAUUUUCCAAUUUGGAUUUGAAUUCCUUUUGGCAAUUGAGUUUCCUUGCAAUUUGGACUCCUUGAUGGGCGGAAUUUUGUUGGUGAGGUGUCCUGAAGUGUUUGGAAUAGGACGGACUUCUGAAAGUUUGGAUUUCUGGUUUCCCGCUUUUCUGUUAUUUUCUGCUGCAAAAUCUGUUUGCGCUACUAUUUGGACAAACAGCCAGUCAACACAGUCAAUUAUGUGUUGUCUGUCAUUCUACCUCUGUUCUGCGAGAUUUGUUUGCCUAGUUGUUUGGGCAAACAGCAGGUCAAACAGCAAGUCUGCACUACUCUUCAUCCUUCUCCCGUUUCUGCUGCAACUUGGUUUGGGCAGUUGUUUGGGCAAACUAAGCUUAGCACACCAAACUUGAUCUAUUGGAUUUCUCUUCCAUUCUCUUUGGGUAGUUUUUAGGUCAUUUUUCAUCAAAUCACCUUUUUACACAAUUUUCUGCAAAAAUAUAUUAAAACCAUAAAAUUAGAUAGAAAAUUUGUAAUUUAACAUCAAUAAUAUGAAAAAUGGGCCUAAUUUUGGUUUGAUUACCUGCUCUCUUACCUUCCGUCAUAUCACUGGACUAAGCCAUCCCUUAGUGAACCUGCGUGCGGGUCAGUCUGGCCCGCUUUGGUUACGGGCUGGAGUACAUCAUAUUGGACCGGCCUGCUCUAAGAGAUUCUGAUGGGCUUGGACCUGUAUCUUUCCCUAGGACUCGACUCCUCCCUUGGGUGUAAGAAGCUAGCGAUCAUAAAGAUAAAAUUUAUUUAUUUAAUUUUCAAAUAAAAUUAUAGUUUUCUUAAUAUAAUUUUAAGAUAAAAAUAUAGUUUUUAAAUUAAAUUUUAAUUUCUGAUUUAAAUUUUAAAUUGAACUGCCAUCGCCUCCGGCUGAGCCGUUCAAUAGAUCCAUGGGUUAGAUAGGUCACCACACAAGAUCCUUCCUAAACUCCUUCAAAAACAAAGGAGAUACACUGCGAAGAAACGUUAUAGCUACCACUUCAAAUGUAGUGUCCCACAUCAAUUAUUAAGAGGAAAAUUGAUGGGUAAGAGCCGAUCAGAAAAUUGUGCAAUAGCUAAAAACGAUCGUAUGAUAAAAUUUCUCCCUCUGAAAGACUAAAUUGCUUAUUUUGAGUGAAAACUUUGACAGCUAGUAAAAGUACACAACAGCAAAUAUACAACACAACAAGCGAGGGUGAUACUUCUUCAGCCAUUAGAAAUUCCAAAUCAUUUUCUUUGAAGAAAUCUAAGCAGUUCGACCAAAUUCCUGUGAGAAGAGCCACCUGGUGUUGUGGACUCCUCUGCUUUGAUCUUCCAUUCCAUUGCCUGCCUUUUCAUUUCUUUACCCUUCUUUCCAUCCAUCAACUCUCUCACAAGCUUUUCCACUUCUUCUCUUUUUACAUCAUUAUCAAUCUCCAUUCCAAUACCCCAUUCAUUGCAAGCGAACCAACAAUUGGUCUGUUGCUCCGCGAAGAAUGGCCAACAAACCACUGGAACACCUCCACAUAUACUCUCCAACGUCGAAUUCCACCCCAUAUGACUUAAAAAUCCUCCUACUGCAGGAUGCUUCAAGAUUUGCUCUUGUGGAGACCAGCUCGCUAACUUUCCUCUGUCCUUGGUUUCAGACACAAAUUCGGGUGGCAACAUCGCAGCUUCGCCAACCACAAGAUCUGGCCUUAUUAUCCACAAAAAUGGUUUCUUGCUGUUGGCUAGCCCCCAUGCAAAUUCUACCAUUUGUUGUGGGGUUACCACAGUGAUGCUACCAAAAUUUACAUACACAACAGAGUUUGGUUCUUUUGAAUCAAGCCAGUCAAUACACUCUGGCUGUUCUUUCCACAGAUUUGAACCAAUGUUUCUCAAUUUGCUGUCUGGGAUCUGAUCAAGAAGCAACUGAAGAGGACCAAUAGUAUAAAUAGGAGGUAACAUGGUGAAAAGAACAUCCAACACAUGUUUCUCAAAGGCCUCGAAUGUGUUCAAAAUGAUAGCGGAAGCUCUUGAAGUUCUAUCUACUUCCCUUGCAAUGAAAUUGAUCAUUAUGUCAUUUCUUUCAGUAGUUCUGAAAAAGCUUGGAAGAUCCCUUAAGCGAAUAUUUUUCAUUCCUGGAAUCCAGUCUAUGGUUGUAUCCAAGUACCCAUUUGUUAGAUAGCUCUCAUCUGCAUUUCACAGAACAAAUCAAGUGCAAGAAAGAUUCAGUAAACCUACGUACAGAACCUACUCUUCUGCUAACUAUAUCUAAAAAGAGGGUGAGAGUAUUAAACCUUUAAGAGGUGUUAAGCCCCUUUCAAUCAGAUGACGAUAAUGAGCAUAGGCCAAAACGCCACAGGAGCUGGGUGUCCAGAAAAGUACAUCAGGAAUUCCAAAUUCAUGAGCUGCGUCAAGAGUGAAGCUCAUACAAGCAUCAGAAAUAACACAAGUAACAGGUGGGACAGUAUUGGAAGAGUUGAGCCUGGAAAGAAGAUGGCGAAAUGGGAGUAAGCAGUGCUUGGAGGUGGAGUCACAGAGAGAAGGGAUGUCUUGGGUGGCAUUUGCAUCAGAAGGUGGAAGGCCAUCAGGGAUAGAAUCAAAGUGAAAAUCUGGCAAUCCGUCAAGAGAGUCAGGGCCUCUAGACCUGAGCAAGCGUCUGUGGUUAUACUCUGA
rnacentral:lncRNA from 1 species